UACGUAGGGGGCAAGCGUUGUCCGGAAGUCAUUGGGCGUAAAGCGCGCGUAGGCGGCCCUGUAAGUCCGUUGUGAAAGUCAAAGGCUCAACCUUUGAAAGCCGAUGGAUACUGCAGGGCUAGAGUCCGGAAGAGGCGAGUGGAAUUCCUGGUGUAGCGGUGGAAUGCGCAGAUAUCAGGAGGAACACCGGUGGCGAAGGCGGGUCUCUGGGCCGUAACUGACGCUGAGGAGCGAAAGCAUGGGGAGCGAACAGG
rnacentral:rRNA from 1 species